GCCCAGGUGGUGGAAUCGGCAGACACGGGAGCCUCAAAAGUUCCUGCCCGCAAGGGCGUGCGGGUUCGAGUCCCGCCCUGGGCA
rnacentral:tRNA from 1 species